rnacentral:rRNA from 1 species
GGGGAAGUAUUGCACAAUGGAGGAAACUCUGAUGCAGCGACGCCGCGUGAGUGAAGAAGUAGUUCGCUAUGUAAAGCUCUAUCAGCAGGGAAGAUAGUGACGGUACCUGACUAAGAAGCUCCGGCUAAAUACGUGCCAGCAGCCGCGGUAAUACGUAUGGAGCAAGCGUUAUCCGGAUUUACUGGGUGUAAAGGGAGUGUAGGUGGCAUCGCAAGUCAGAAGUGAAAAGCCCGGGGCUCAACCCCGGGACUGCUUUUGAAACUGCGGAGCUAGAGUGCAGGAGGGGCAAGCGGAAUUCCUAGUGUAGCGGUGAAAUGCGUAGAUAUUAGGAGGAACACCAGUGGCGAAGGCGACUUUCUGGACUGUAACUGACGUUGAGGCACGAAAGUGUGGGGAGC